UACGGGGGGGGCAAGCGUUGUUCGGAAUUACUGGGCGUAAAGGGCUCGUAGGUGGCCAACUAAGUCAUACGUGAAAUCCCUCAGCUUAACUGGGGAAUUGCCUUUGAUACUGGCUGUCUUGAGUACGGGAGAGGUGAGUGGAACUCCGAGUGUAGAGGUGAAAUUCGUAGAUAUUCGCAAGAACACCAGUGGCGAAGGCGGCUCACUGGCCCGGUACUGACGCUGAGGUGCGAAAGCGUGGGGAGCAAACAGG
rnacentral:rRNA from 1 species